UACGGAGGGUGCAAGCAUUAAUCGGAUUUAUUGGGCGUAAAGGGCGCGUAGGCGGGUGAACAAGUCAGGUGUGAAAUUCCAGAGCUCAACUUUGGAACUGCAUUUGAAACUGUUUGUCUGGAGGAUUGGCGGAGAAAAUGGAAUUCCACAUGUAGCGGUGAAAUGCGUAGAUAUGUGGAAGAACACCUGUGGCGAAAGCGGUUUUCUAGCUUAUACCUGACGCUGAGGCGCGAGAGCAAGGGGAGCAAACAGG
rnacentral:rRNA from 1 species